GAAAAAUUGAUUCAGUGCAGAGCAAUGAGAUGAAUGACAGUUUCCCUCAAUUUUUUAUCCCCCUGUUAUGCCAUCAAUCUGCCUCUCAGACCCUCAGGAUGUGGCAGCUUUACCUUAACCAAGCACAGGUGACAUUGUAGCUGUUGUCAUCAAUCAGCUUGUAGCUGAUGCUGUACAAGGCUGUUCUGCUUAGGCUUUCAUUCCAAGGGGGAUCUUGCUCAGAGGUGGACUUGGGAUCACACCUGGAUCAGAGUCCUGAGCCUGGAUCUUCAGGGCCCCCAGAAGGGUGAUUCCCAGACAUAGGAGCCCAAGGGCCAUGGCUAUACAGCAGUUGCUUUACUGGCAGGUGUUGGAAGAGAAAGAGGAAGGCUGAAGAAGCCAACCAGAGGAAAUUAUUUAUAGCCUCCAGUCUGCCCCUCCUUGAGUGGGCAGGUUCAUUCUUUGCUAAAUGCAGGACUAGUGAAGGAGCUUAUUGACAGCAACUCUUUCAGAAAUACGUGACAAGAUAUCCUCCCUGCCCUGACCAGUCAGGAUUGUGGAUUGUAGCUAAGGAUCAACACGGGACAGGAAAGGCAUGCUGAGACUUUCA
rnacentral:lncRNA from 1 species